AAGUCGUAACAAGGUUUCCGUAGGUGAACCUGCGGAAGGAUCAUUAACACGUAUCCGUUAAACCCAUGAACUUUCAUCGUGCUCUUGCAUCCUAGGAACAGCAAUCCUGGUAAAUCAGUCGAAAGCAGUUAUUGAUUCAGGAUGCUGUGUCGAGGAGACAUACGCUAACUACUGGUUGUUUCCAAGGGGCGUGAGUCCGGUGACCACGACGCCGGCCGGUGAUCGGCCUACAGCAUCCGUGAAGCGUUAUCCUUGAACAAUCAAUGACACUUUCAGAACACUGAUCGCUUGGGGAAGCUAGGCCACUUGCCUCGAGCGCUCAAUCACAUCUUUUGGGCAGAGGUAAGUGCGCCGUCGUAGGAGAAAAACGAACAACUGUUAACAAUGGAUAUCUUGGUUCUCA
rnacentral:misc_RNA from 1 species